rnacentral:rRNA from 1 species
UACGUAGGGUGCGAGCGUUGUCCGGAAUUAUUGGGCGUAAAGGGCUCGUAGGCGGUCUGUUGCGUCGGGAGUGAAAACUCAGGGCUUAACCCCUGAGCCUGCUUCCGAUACGGGCAGACUAGAGGUAUGCAGGGGAGAACGGAAUUCCUGGUGUAGCGGUGAAAAUGCGCAGAUAUCAGGAGGAACACCGGUGGCGAAGGCGGUUCUCUGGGCAUUACCUGACGCUGAGGAGCGAAAGUGUGGGGAGCGAACAGG